UGCAGGGUUCCACUGCUCAGUGUUCUGAGACUAAUUAAUCAGUAAGAGUGUCUAAUUAAAAAGAUGACUGUUCACCAGCUGCCACAGCAGGUUGGGUAAUGGACUGAAACAUUAGAGUAUUUUGUAGCAAAUAUUUGUGUUCAGAAUGCUGCAUCUGUUUGUCCUAAUGCAGAGAAGCAUUCUCAAAUUUCCAAAUAGGCUACUGUCCUGGACUACAGCCAAAACCCGUAUGUGACUAUCCUCUUUUCUUUUGAUACAUGUGCUUAUGGCAAACAGCCUACUGAAAAUGAAAAGGCCUCCCCUUUUGCAAGAAGGUGUCCUUUGAAGGCGGUACGUUGCCCAGUUUUGAUCACAGAUGUUUGAAACACAGCAUGCCCAUCUUUUUGCACUGAACAAAUUUCCCAGCAGUAAAAAUUAAGUAGUUUCAGAAAUGCUGAUCUCUACAUUUUUGUUCUAGUUUUUUUUUUUUCUUUGCACCUUUAUUUGUUCUCUUUUCUAAUCGGGAAUGGUCUCACUUUUAGAGAGAUCAGAUAUCAAGUAUGCAUAGCUAUAUGCUUAUUAAUGGUAAAAGAUCCUAUUAUAUAAAGAUCAAUUAUCAUUAUAAAAAAUUGAAUUGUUUUGUUGUAUUUUUUUUUUCCAGUUGACUAAGAAGAGGUAACUAAGACCUGGUUUAUUGCUUGUUGAAUGAGAUACUUAGAUAUUAAGCAAAACAGUUAUAAAGGAACUGAUCACUUCGAGAUGUAUGUGCAACUUUUUCAGUUUCAUGUUUCUUUUAAAUUCAGUAUCUAUAGGCAGUUUCUUAAGUUUUACUUUUUUCCCACCUUUUCUGAAGGGGCAAGCAUAGGAUGACUAUCACUUAACUCUUAAACUGAGAUCAUUCAUCUCAUGGCAAAUGUCAGAUUCCUAAUAUUUUUUAAUUUAAUGUGGUUUGUAGAGGAAAAAUCAGAUUGUAUGCUGGUUUAAUUGGUAGGAUGCCUCAUUUUUGGUAUAAGUUGAACCACUAGUGCUGACAGUUACAGUCUCUACUUUGAAUUAUUUUAGUGGUGCUGCAUACUGUGGAAUAAUAAAGAAUAUAUGAACUGAAAAUGCUUAUUAGAUAUUAGUGAAAAAAAUACUGCCUCUGAAGAGCAGAAGUUGACAGAAUUUUAAUUCUUUAAAUAGCUUCAUUUAAAUUCAGACUUCAAAUAAAAGAUUUAGUGUAUCACGAAUGUACUGG
rnacentral:lncRNA from 1 species